rnacentral:rRNA from 1 species
UAGUAUGGCCAUACUACCCUUAAUGCACCUGAUCUUGGAAGUUAAACAGGGCUGGGCCUGGUUAGUACUUGUAUGGGAGACCACUUGGGCAUACUAGAUGCUGUAGGCU